rnacentral:rRNA from 1 species
GUCUAUGGCCAUGCUAUCCUGAAAGUGCCUGAUCUCAUCUGAUCUCAGAAGCUAAGCAGGGUCGGGCCUGGUUAGUACUUGGAUAGGAGACCACUGUGUAAUAUCAGGUGCUGUAAGUG